GACGGCGGUGGCGUCCCACCAGCCGGAUUACUUGAGUUCGACGGCGCCAAUGAUGGCGCAUUACCAGGUGACGAUGGAACCGCCGGCGGUGACGUGGAAGGGGAGGUUCCCGGCGGGGGAGAUACUCCUGUUGGAGCAUUAGCCGCAGGUGGCUGCGAUGACGGUGACGUGGAGGGGGAAGUUCCCGGAGCCGGUGACAGCCCAGUUGGAGCAUUAGCCGCAGGUGGUUGCGAUGACGGUGACGUGGAGGGGGAAGUUCCCGGAGCCGGUGACAGCCCAGUUGGAGCAUUAGCCGCAGGUGAUUGGGAUGAUGAUGGUGACGUAGAAGGUGAAGUUGCCGGCACCGGAGAGUACCCUUUUGGAGGAUAAGGCGAAGGCGCAUGAGAUGAUGGUGACGUGGAAGGUGAAGUCGCCGGCACUGGAGAGUAUCCUUUUGGAGGAUAAGGCGAAGACGUGGAAGGUGAAGUUGCCGGCGUCGGAGAGGACCCUUUAGGAGGAUUAGCCGAAGGUGCAUGAGAUGUUGGUGAGGUGGAGGGGGAAGUCGCCGGCGGCUGUGUGGCCGGAGAAGGAGACUUAGGAGACGGGGCAUGCGGUGGAGGUUUCGUGGUGGGGGGUCCAGUUGAGGGAGGGGGAGGCCUUUCAUGCAAAACGACGACGAUUAAUUUCUGUCCCUUUUGGCAAUGAUCAUGGUUUCCACUUAUGAAAUAGAAAGGACCCGAACGAUCAAGCUUGAACUCUGAGUCACCCGAAUCCAGUUUCAGCAAAGGCUUCUUCGUGUUGCAGCUGUCGUAAUCAUCUUUGUUCACUAACAACACCGAGUCUGAUCCUUUCUUGUACUUGAAAACUGCCAUAAAUUAAAAAAAAAAAAAAAAUCGAAAUCAGCAUUCUUUCAUUAGAUCGUCACCCCCAAACACAGGUUAAGCAGUGAUAUUCAAACAGAAAAUCCUCAAAGAACGCUGACAGAAACAGAGUAAACCUUAAGACUUACAGAGGGUAUCAUUGACGAGGAACCUGUUUCUCCCAGACCAUUUGUUGUAAUUUUCUCCAGGGUUUGUAACCCAGCCGUGUUUGCCACCCACGUUGAAUUUGAGUGCGUGAGAGGAAGAGAUGAAAAAUGCAAAGAGAGCCAAGGAAAGGCAAAGAGAUUUCUGAAACUCCAUUGAACAGAAAUGUGCUCUAGACUUGUGUGUUUUCUGUUUUUAUAUAGCGAUGAAAGUGAUAUAGAUAUGUACGAUGACCCAGAAGCUUCACAGAAAAUCUGCCAAUUGGAAGUUUUUAUUGGUAUUGCUUUUUUACUUGGGAAGUAAAAGAUUUUGGAGAUUUGAUUGGAGAAGGAAAAUCAGAGAUAAGAAGGAAAGUGAAGAUAGAGGCAGUGGCGUUGAUAUAUAAAGAGAGAUUCAGAUUACCGUUUGAAUAGUAAUAGCAAUCAAUCAAUGAAUCCCAAAACUUUAUUAGAGUCGAGCCAGGUGAAGUUAUUGUUUGUCUGCUUAUUAGUCUACGCCUAGUAUUUGGUCUUCUGUUUCUUUUUACAGGUGGCAAAAUCAGAGAACGUGAACGUUGAUCAUGCAAUUGAAAUUAAUGUAGUGUCAAUUGUGGGGUAGAUUGGAGCCUCCCAUGUGUCUCUUCGCACAACCGUGUGAUACACGUUUCAAUUGUAUCUUAAAUUUGUUCAUAAUCAUACGGUACGUAUUUCACUCGAGCUAUUAACUCUUAAUAUUUAGGGGCUUGGAUGAGAUGAAAAACUUCACUCACUAAGCACACACUUAUCACAACUCCUCUCCUAUUAGCACUAAAACUCAUGUGAUUGCACUCACAAUUAGCCGAGCUAAAUUUGGAGGCUAAAAUGUUAAUCUUUAUGAUCAUCAAUACAUUUUAGUCGGCCAAAAUUGAUUAUAAGACUUGUUCUUCCCGUUGAACUAUUAAUGCCUCUUUGUCCGUUGGUGUUGACUUCACAGUUAUGCAAGAUUGGACCAGCUCAAGUCGAAGGGCUCAUAUAUCCAGUGCUUGGCCCCAGGAGUAGACAGAUAGUCUGUUCAUGGCCACCAUUAGUCCUUUCACCAUAAAUAAUUAAACCAUGCUUUGGUGUAGGGAAAGUUUACUGAGUCUCAUAGCCUUUGGGUUAAAAUGAAGGGUGACCCUCCAAGUUUUUAUGACUUUCAUCCUGAAUUAAGUGGCUGUGGUUCUCUUACAUAGAACACAGGAGUAGACGAAUGGUACCUACUCUCAUCUACUGUUUAGUAGAGUCUAGGACAACGGGUGCGCUAUGACAUUCAUGUACCUAUCUAUAUCUACUGAAGUCAUAACAUGCAUGCAUGUGUGUGUGUGUGUGUAUAUAAAAAUUGUCCGCUAAUUUUGAAAAUUCAACAACAAAAGUGUGGAAAAGGAAAAAAAGUGUAAUCUGCAGGAAAUGAAUGAAUAUGGUCAAACAAUCUUCAACCCUCGAGUAAAGGAAUCCAAGAACUAUAACAAGAGCCAUAAUUUUGAGUUUCUGUGUGUGUAUUCAGCUACCUCUGUCACUACUCAUAUGAAAUGUACAUUAUAGGUGGGAAAAGGGUGGUGUCGAGGGCUUGUGUGAACCAAAUACCCCGCAAACAAACAACUUUUUUCACUCAAAUGGAAUUCACAUGAUGCACCAAGAAUUCCCCACCCAGUUCAUAUGAAUGAAAUCAGCCAUUCCCUCAAGAGAAUGUGUAAUAUCAUAAAAUUAAAAAAAAAAGGGAAAACAAAAAGGUCUCUUCAAAAGUCAUACUUUGUUCUCCCACUCAUCAAGAUGAGACACAGCAUAUCUGAAAUGUCAGAAGAAGAACUGAAGAAGUUCCAAGACUCGAGCAUUAGGCGUUUCCUUG
rnacentral:lncRNA from 1 species